AUGCUCCUAUGUUGUGUUAAGUGUUGGCAGAUAAUCUGGACCCCGCCCUAGCGGUCCGGAACUUGAACCCCGGAACUUCCCCCUCCCCAUAAGAAGUCCGGGGUUUUUUUUGCCCGCGU
rnacentral:sRNA from 2 species